rnacentral:rRNA from 1 species
AGUGAACGCUGGCGGUAGGCCUAACACAUGCAAGUCGAACGGCAGCACAGUAAGAGCUUGCUCUUACGGGUGGCGAGUGGCGGACGGGUGAGGAAUACAUCGGAAUCUACUUUUUCGUGGGGGAUAACGUAGGGAAACUUACGCUAAUACCGCAUACGACCUACGGGUGAAAGCAGGGGAUCUUCGGACCUUGCGCGAUUGAAUGAGCCGAUGUCGGAUUAGCUAGUUGGCGGGGUAAAGGCCCACCAAGGCGACGAUCCGUAGCUGGUCUGAGAGGAUGAGGAGGAACAGUGGGGAGGGUACAGGGGAGAGGAGCAGAAGGGAGGCAGCAGUGGGGAGGGGUGGAAAAUGGGCGGAAGCCUGAUACAGCGAUGCCGCGUGGGUGAAGAAGGGAUUCGGGGUGGAAAGCACGUGUGUAAGGAAAGAAAGAAGGGACGCGAAUAAAGUCGGGGGAGGAAGGGAAGGGAAGAAGAAGGAAGGGAGAAUGAAGGC